rnacentral:rRNA from 1 species
CCUACGGGAGGCAGCAGUGAGGAAUAUUGGACAAUGGGCGCAAGCCUGAUCCAGCCAUGCCGCGUGCAGGAAGAAGCAUCUAUGGUGUGUAAACUGCUUUUGUACAGGAAGAAACACUCCCUCGUGAGGGAGCUUGACGGUACUGUAAGAAUAAGGACCGGCUAACUCCGUGCCAGCAGCCGCGGUAAUACGGAGGGUCCGAGCGUUAUCCGGAAUCAUUGGGUUUAAAGGGUCCGUAGGCGGUUUAAUAAGUCAGUGGUGAAAUCUGGUCGCUCAACGAUCAAACGGCCAUUGAUACUGUUAGACUUGAAUUAUAAGGAAGUAACUAGAAUAUGUAGUGUAGCGGUGAAAUGCUUAGAUAUUACAUGGAAUACCAAUUGCGAAGGCAGGUUACUACUUAUGGAUUGACGCUGAUGGACGAAAGCGUGGGGAGCGAACAGGAUUAGAUACCCUGGUAGUCCACGCCGUAAACGAUGGAUACUAGCUGUUCGGAGCAAUCUGAGUGGCUAAGCGAAAGUGAUAAGUAUCCCACCUGGGGAGUACGUUCGCAAGAAGAGUAAGUUAAAUUAGUAAGUUAGAGNGNGAGAGNGCGAGACGACGACGAGGAGGAGG